AUUCUCCAACCACUCAGCCUCCGAACCUCAGCCUCGGCGUCCCAAAUUUCCAGGCUCGGUCACUAAUUAAGAGCCCGCCACUCCGACAAGUCCAAAGCUCCACCAUCGCGAAUUACAGUCCAACCGAAAAAAGAAAAAGGAAAAAAAGAGAGAGGCAGAGAGAGAAAAAGGAGACUCUGUUUCUGGAGAGAGAAGCUAGAGAGAGAGAGAGAGAGAGAGAGAGAAAUUGAUGUUUUAGAGGGGGAAAGUUGGACUCAGGGUUUUUAGCCACGGCAGGCAUGGUGCAGAUCGUGAAGCGGAAGAAGGGGAGGCCUCCGAAGUCGGAUCUGGCGAGGAAGCCGCCACACGCGCCGGCGCCGGAGGGGGAGCCGGAAUCCAGCGUCCGACGGAGCGUCCGCCGCAGGAGCGCGAGGUUUGACUUCAUCGACUACGACGAUUUCAUCCACGACGGCCUCGUCGCGGACGAGGAGGAGGAGGAGGAGGAAAUGAAGAGGGAGAAGAAGACGAAGCUCGUGGUGAAGCUGAACCAGAGGGGCGCGUGGGGUCGCGCGUCGGGAUCCGAGGACGACGAGAGCGAGGGGAGGAGGGUGGUGAAGAAGAGGAGGAUUAGCGGCGGCGAUGAGGACGAGGACGAGGAUCGCGGCGGUUAUGAUGAGGAGGAAAGGAAGGGACGUGAGGAGAGUUCAAGAGUACGGCAUGAGUCGUCUCCUCCAGGAACGCCGUCAGACACAUCCAGCAUUCCGUUGCCUGAUAAGAAGACACUUCAGCUGAUACUUGACAAACUUCAGAAGAAGGACACAUAUGGUGUGUACGCAGAGCCAGUUGAUCCUGAGGAGCUUCCAGAUUAUCAUGAUGUGAUCGAGCACCCAAUGGACUUUUCCACAGUAAGGAAGAAGCUGGCCGAUGGAUCAUACACAAUGUUGGACCAGUUUGAGAGUGACGUUUUCCUUAUCUGCUCAAAUGCAAUGCGAUACAAUGCACCGGACACUAUAUACCAUAAACAGGCACGUGCCAUUGAAGAGCUUGGGAAAAAGAAAUUCAGUAAGUUGAAAAUCAAGUUUCGGUGCUCUGAGAAAGAGCUCAAGUCAGAAAGGGAAGCAAGGAUUCACUUUGAAAGCCAUGAGAAAGAUCUCAAGUCCGAGCAGAAAACGAAGUCCAAUUAUUUGGUGAAGAAGCAAAUCAAGAAACCGGUGCCCCGGUCCUUGCAGGAGCCUGUUGGUUCUGAUUUAUCUCUGGGUGCCACUGUUACUACUCCUGGAGAUGUUGAGAGGGGUUCUGUCACAAAGCAACUAGGUGUUUCUGAGAGACCCAACGAUGGACCUGCAGAUGGUAGUACCGUUCUGGCUGAAAAUAAUCUAGAGAAAGCAGAAGAGGCGUUCAUAGUUUCAGGGAAAAGUUCAUCGUCAAAGCUAGGGCGGAAACCAUCUGCAAUUGAUGAGAAUCGCCGAGUGACUUAUGGCAUAUCAAAUCAACCAGAGGCGAGAUCAGAGUCAGUAUUCACAACUUUCGAGGGUGAAAUCAGGCAACUAGUGGCUGUUGGACUCCAUGCAGACUAUUCCCAUGCUAGAAGUCUGGCUCGUUUUGCAGCAACACUUGGACCGAUUGCUUGGAAAGUUGCCUCCCGGAGGAUUGAGCGAUCAUUACCCGCUGGAUGUAAGUUUGGUCGUGGAUGGGUUGGGGAAUAUGAGCCGCUUCCAACCCCAGUGGUAUUGCCUGGAAACUGUUUCAAUAAAGAUUUGCUGCACAGUGUUAUUAAGAAGCACGACUUGCCCUCCAAGGCACCGGUGUAUGUAAAGGAGAAUGCUAUCCGUACUUCUCCAUCUGAAGUGAGACAGCCUUUGGUUUCUCAGAGUAAUCUUUCAACUGUUUUGAGUUCUGCUCAAUCCAGUGCAGCUGUCACAGCCAAUCAUCAGAUACAAGGUCCAGUUUGCAGGAAUCCCAAUGACCCUGAAACUAAGGUCAUUAAACAGUUUGAAUUGAACUCUUUGCCUUCUCCGCGCCAAAACAAUAAUGCCACUUAUGUAGCAGAAAUGAAGGUUUCUGAUAAUUCACAAAUGGCUGCAUCAAGAUUGAGGGAGAUUUUAUCAAGGAACUUAAAUAAUCCCCAACCUGAUUUGUCAGAACCUGCAUCAUCAAGAUCUAGAGGGAUUGUACCAAGGAGUGUAAAGCACCCGCAGUUAAUGCAUUUUAGACAGUUGGAUGCUAAUGGGUUUGUGGAUGGAAGAUUGCCAAAUGGGGAACUUCCAAACAACACUUCGGAUAGUAGCAAGAUGACCUCUAUAUCCAAUGGUUUCACAAACAAAAUGAACAUGGCAACACCAUUUUCUCCAAGCAAGGAUCAGGGGCUUAGCGAUCCUGUUCAGUUGAUGCAACUAUUGAGUGAAAAGGCUCAAGAAAAACAGAUUUCUGAAAGUGCUCCUAGUGUUGACAGUCCUUCAAUCAGGGCACCUGUUCCUGCAAUGAGAAUGAGGAGUUCAGGGAAUGGUGCUGCAGCUGCAUGGAUGUCCGUAGGGGCUGGAGGCCUUAAACAAACUGUGGAAAGUUCAAACACACAGAAAAGUCGAAUAACAAAUCAGUCCACCCAAGAACUUCAUCCACAAAUGGCACGUGCUCAUAGCGAACUGCCUGUUUCUUUUGGGAUACAGUUUCAAGCAGAUAAAAAUAACAAUCCUUUUCGGUCAUUUGUAUCACCCCCUUUCGCCUUGUCCAGUGAGAGACAACCCCAUUUGCUACCAAUGAUUCCCCCUCAAAUAACGACUGCCGACUUGUCUAGAUUUCAGGGGCAGUUGCAUUGGCAUGGUAUCACACCACAUAAACAGCCGAGGCAGAAACAGGAAACUCUUCCUCCAGAUUUGAAUAUCGGUUUCCAGUCACCAACAUCACCGGCGAAGCAAUCUUCUAGUGUUGUGAUCGACUCACAACAGCCAGAUCUAGCCUUGCAACUCUGAAGUAUGUUUUCUAUGUUGAGAAAUUGACAAGAAGGGACCUUCAUGAGGUAUUCUUUACUUCCUAACAAAUUUUCAGAUCCAAAAGAUGGCUUCUCUUUGUGGAUGAGCGCAGCAGUAUGUAUAUGUCCUGACCUCAUUUAAACCAUUCGGGUUGUCAGUCCUUGAUGACUAUAAAGCGUCGUCUUGAUUUUUCAACUCAUUAUUCGGAAGGGAGGUGAAGUUAGGCGAAACAGGCGGAGGCUCAAAGAUGCUAAAAGCCCUAUAGCCUGAUAUUACUGCCAGAACAAGGAAGCAGCAAAGUGCUAAGAAAUGCAGGAUCAGAGCCAGCUUCACUUUACUGCAAAACCUCCCAUAAGAUGUGCAGGCUUCACUCCAGGUGACCCCUCGAUCCCCUUUGUAAGCUAGAUACAGUAUCUCUAGCGCUGCUGCCCCAGAUGUGACCAUCAAAUAGGCUAUGAUCUGCGUGAAAUACAUGAUUCAUAUGUGGAAAAAGAAAAGGAACUGGUCAGGCAUUCAUGGUUUAGUGAAAUAAUAAUGAAACUUCAACAAAGAUCAAGGGACAGUCCCCCAACCAAGAUGAAGUUUGGAUUAUUAGCAUUUAUCUAGAAAGCUUUCUGGUUGAGCUUACUCAUAUCUUCACUAGAUAAACCUUCCCUUUAUGCAAAGCAUUUGGGAAGAGGAACUUCAUUUUGAGAGGAUUCUGCUAAUCAUGUAAAGAACUGGGAGAUUAAUCAGGGAUAAAUAGGGGGCUGCAGUUAUACCUGGUCAGGGGCAAAGAACAGCCAUGCUUUAGCCACCAAGAACUUGAGCAAUGUGCAUGCUGCAGAAGCAAAAGCAUAAGCAGCACAUAUCCCACUGAUCCAAACCAUGUACCUGUGUCAUAAAAAAGCUUAAUUUUGUUUAGAGAGUAUAGGAAUGCAUUGAAACCAUGAAAAACAUUUCACAGA